GACGAACGCUGGCGGCGUGCCUAAUACAUGCAAGUAGAACGCUGAAGGAGGAGCUUGCUUCUCUGGAUGAGUUGCGAACGGGUGAGUAACGCGUAUGUAACCUGCCUCGUAGCGGGGGAUAACUAUUGGAAACGAUAGCUAAUACCGCAUAAGAGUUGAUGUUGCAUGACAUUUGCUUAAAAGGUGCAAUUGCAUCACUACCAGAUGGACCUGCGUUGUCUUAGGUAGUUGGUGAGGGAACGGCUCAACAAAGCGACGAAACAUAGUCGACCUCAGAGGGGGAGCGGGCAACACGGGACCGAGACCAGGCCCAGAACCCUAAGGGAGGGAGCAGGAGGGAAAUUUCGGGAAAGGACGGAAGGCUGAACGGGCCACGCCGCGGGAGGGAAGAAGGGUUUCGGAUCGUAAAGCUCCGUUGUAAGGGAAGAAAGAGUGUGAGAGUUGAAAGUUCACAUUGUGACGGUAUCUUAUCAGAAAGGGACGGCUAACUACGUG
rnacentral:rRNA from 1 species